AAAUUGAAGAGUUUGAUCAUGGCUCAGAUUGAACGCUGGCGGCAGGCCUAACACAUGCAAGUCGAACGGUAACAGGAAGAAGCUUGCUUCUUUGCUGACGAGUGGCGGACGGGUGAGUAAUGUCUGGGAAACUGCCUGAUGGAGGGGGAUAACUACUGGAAACGGUAGCUAAUACCGCAUAACGUCGCAAGACCAAAGAGGGGGACCUUCGGGCCUCUUGCCAUCGGAUGUGCCCAGAUGGGAUUAGCUAGUAGGUGGGGUAACGGCUCACCUAGGCGACGAUCCCUAGCUGGUCUGAGAGGAUGACCAGCCACACUGGAACUGAGACACGGUC
rnacentral:rRNA from 1 species